rnacentral:rRNA from 1 species
UACGUAGGUGGCAAGCGUUGUCCGGAUUACUGGGCGUAAAGAGCGCGCAGGCGGCUGGUCAAGUCCGAUGUGAAAUCUCCCGGCUUAACUGGGAAACUGCAUCGGAAACUGAUCGGCUUGAAGGUGGGAGAGGGUAGUGGAAUUCCCGGUGUAGUGGUGAAAUGCGUAGAUAUCGGAGGAACACCAGUGGCGAAGGCGAUUACCUGCCCAUUCUGACGCUGAGGCGCGAAAGCUAGGGGGAGC